GUGAGGAAUAUUGGACAAUGGGCGCAAGCCUGAUCCAGCCAUGUCGCGUGCAGGAAGACGCAUCUAUGGUGUGUAAACUGCUUUUGUACGGGAAGAAACACUCCCUCGUGAGGGAGCUUGACGGUACCGUAAGAAUAAGGAUCGGCUAACUCCGUGCCAGCAGCCGCGGUAAUACGGAGGAUCCAAGCGUUAUCCGGAAUCAUUGGGUUUAAAGGGUCCGUAGGCGGUUUAAUAAGUCAGUGGUGAAAGCCCAUCGCUCAACGAUGGAACGGCCAUUGAUACUGUUAGACUUGAAUUACAAGGAAGUAACUAGAAUAUGUAGUGUAGCGGUGAAAUGCUUAGAUAUUACAUGGAAUACCAAUUGCGAAGGCAGGUUACUACUUGUGGAUUGACGCUGAUGGACGAAAGCGUGGGGAGCGAACAGGAUUAGAAACCCUUGUAGUCC
rnacentral:rRNA from 1 species